GUUCAGUUUGAGUAAAGACGACCUCUGGGAAGCUCUCUCUGAAUACCCGGAAGCAAAGAAAAACCUUCUGGAGAAAGGGAAACAGAUUCUAGAAAAGGAUAACAUGAUUGACGAGGAGAAAGCUAAAGCAGAAGCGGCAGCAGAAGAGGAUACUAAAGCUACCCUUGAAAGAUUAGAGACAACGCUGGAACACCUCAGUGAAAGCUUGUCUGGACUGAUGGCCGAAUAUUUAAGCUUUCAGAUGAAAAUGAAGCAGAGAGUGUACACAGUUGAAGCCAAAACUGGGAUUGUUUAAUUGAUUUUAAAUAUUUUCUCCCAACUUUAAUUGUUUAAUUUCAUUCUCAGAUUAUACAAUAAUACAAUAUACAGGGUGGAGUUAGAUCACAUAUUUUCAGUUAAGGAAGUAAUUUCAAGCGACCUUUCCUUUCAACAAUGACAUGUUAGAUUCUCAGUGGUACCCUGAAAUAAAAAGCUUUGUCUGAUCAAGCAUGGAUUUGAUAUAUUUUUUUUUGAAUUGACAAUUUAAAGGGACU